ensembl:lncRNA
AGAGAGAGAGAGAGAGAGAGAGAGAGAGAGAGAGAGAGAGAAAUACACAUACCAAAACAAAAAUUUACAACAUCUUUAAACAGUUGAAACGGUGUAAUUCAUAAAUAUGUCAAUGGGAAGGAAAGACUGAGAUUCUUGCAAAGUGACUGCUUCGUCACGGCCCUGCAGUCCUCUCUCCUGCCCAUUCGGUGGCUUUAUGAACGUGCAUGGCUUCUCCCUACGCAAAGGUUAGAAGCAGACAUUCUCUGUGUCUAAGACGAUUUUGCUUUUAUACCUGAUUACCACCUUGUUGCUUUGCCCCACGUAGACUCUACUCCCCAUUAAGGCACACCUAACCAUUUAGCUUUUGUUCAACUUUUUAACUGUCAGAUAGAAACCUUUUCCCCUCUCUCAGCCUACCCACUCUUCCUAUCCACCCAUUUUUGACCUCUCCCAUUCUGUAAAUCUUUAUCAAGCAUCAGCCUUUCCUCAGGAAGCUCCAGUAGCUCAUAGGCCUGAGUUUCUAGAGUGAAGCAGCUGGCUAAUGAACGGAAGGAGAGGAUAACAGAGGUGAAAAAUAAUGUUCGGUGCUAAGUUGGAGAAAAUGAUGAGACUACCCCUAAGGAAGAACAGUUAGGUUGGAAGGAAGGAAAAAACAACUCUUAUUCUGAGAUUAUGGUGAGCCGUUCAAAGACCAAUGCCUAGCAUGUGAGCUAUCUGCUAUCUGGAUAACCAUUGGUGAAUCAUUGGCAGAAGUGUGAUUCAAGAACCAGGAGAUUACUUAACAGCUCCAAGGUGCAGGAUAGAAUCAAAACAAAACAAAACAAAACAAAACAGAAAGUUAAAGAUUAGCAUAUUUGAAGGGCAUGCUAGAAAGACUAUGUCAGAACAGAAAAUUUUCUCCUACAUUUUGUAUGUUAUGCCACUUGGAAAAGGAGAAUAUUUCUUCAAUUUAUAUCCUGUAUCCAAGGAAGAGAUCCGUGAUGUCCGUCAUGUAAUGGGAGAAGGGUGAGUGACACAACCAGCAUGGAAAUGCAUGUGCCUAAAGUAAGGUUCAAUUCUUGCUUGCUAUAUUACUGCUCUCUAAAUGUCCAACAUGGAACCUUAAUUAGCCAAUUAAAUCUUGCUUCUUUAUCUUUUCUAUUUCUAAAAAUAUUCUUGAGCUGUCUUCAGAGGUGGAAAAAACUCCCAUCUAUCAGUAACAAGACGUGAAAAUAUUAUUUAGUAGAAGCUUGUCUGCACAGUGACUGAGUCAGAGCACAGCCAGAUUCCUGAAAUCUACGGGAAAGGCCAGCACUCACUGCCUUCCCUCCAUUUUCAGUGGGUUUGUAGAUAGGAUCUUCUGUAACGUUAUACUCCAGCUUUGCACAAGAGGGCAGCAGAAAGGCAGAGAAGGCCCCGGAGAAGCAGAGCUGAGGUUCCUAAAGCUAUAAUUUUGGGCGUAGUAUUUUCAAAACCAUGCUUCAAAAAUCAAAUCACAUCCGUAAGCUUUUAAAAUAACCCCAGUCAGUCCAAUUGCCUGUGUCUCUUUGAAAGAAAAAUCAGAUCUACGUCUUAUAGGGAAACAUCUGUUUGCAGCUGCUGAUGGUUCAUGCCAAUAUUCAUAUCUGGUCCAAACGCUUCAGAAUCCGUGACUGUUCAGUGUUCAGCCUUAAAUGGGACAUCUUAUAUCCAUCUCUUUCAAGGCUCAGGAAACAUCUUGAAAGAAACUCUUGAGCUCGUUGGCAGGAUCCGUUGUCUACAGAGGCCCAUGGGUAAAGAGGAGCAUCAUGGUAGGCCUUGGUGCACAGAGAAAGCCUGCCAGAGUUGGGGAAUAACAAGAUGCAUAUGGAGGAAGGUUGGAGAUCUUUGUGAUCCACUGGGGAUGGAGGCAGAGAGGAGGGGCUGCUUUCCAGUGGUUUACUACAAAGUGGGGUGACACUGAGGGAUUGCAUUUGGAGGAGAGGUGGGUGGCAGUGGUGAAGAUCUGCAGUUAGGUUCCCUGCUUCCUUGGCUGGAAUGGCCUGCACAGCACAAGGCUUUCAUGGUCUGACCCCGUUCAGUUCUUAGGAUCUAGACUUAAGCACGCCUUUCAUCUGUCUCUAGCUGCAGGAUGCCCUUCUUCCUUCCAUGAGAUUUAUAUCAUACUUGACACUAUGAUACUUGCUUCCUGCUGCACCCUGGAUGUGUACACUUUUAACAUUUUCCGAUUAAAC